CCCUUAGAUGUCCUGGGCUGCACGCGCGCUACACUGAUGUGUCCAGUAAGCACCUAACCUCUUCCGAAAGGAACGGGUAACCUUUGCAAAGCACAUCGUGAUGGGGAUAGAUUAUUGCAAUUAUUAGUCUUGAACGAGGAAUUCCUAGUAAGCACAAGUCAUCAGCUUGUGUUGAUUACGUCCCUGCCCUUUGUACACACCGCCCGUCGCUCCUACCGAUUGAAUGUUCCGGUGAGCUCUUCGGGCUGCGCGGUCUGCAGUUUCUGCGUUCCGUGCGGAAAGUUGCGCAAACCUUAACAUUUAGAGGAAGGAGAAGUCGUAACA
rnacentral:rRNA from 1 species